rnacentral:tRNA from 1 species
UGAGCGACGUGGCGCAUGGCGACGCGGUGCGGGCAUCGUUCACGUUGCCGCAGACGGGGGUCGACGCCCUGGUCGCCCGUC